GUCAUUUGCAAUUACUUCCCCUGGAGAUUCAGGAUUAGAAUUGAUUCCAGUUAGACCCGAGCCCUUGUACAUAUCUAUUAUAUAUGUACUCAAGCUAAAUGAGAAGAAAGUGUAUUAAAUAUAUAAGAGCUCAUGACGGAUAAUGCCAUUUAAAUAUGUGUAGGAGAUCACAGGUAAAUUGUAUACAAUAUAUGUAUAUAUAUAUGUGUGUGUGUGUGUGUGUGUGUGUGUGUGUUAAGGCCAAAUUGAUUACGUAUUUCAUGAGCGCUUUAUCUAAAUUCCCACUCAGUUCAUGGGAGGUAACUCUAAUUCAGUUUUGCUUUGAAUGUAGUGUCACAUACGCACGCGGUUAUCGUGCAGUGUGGAAUGCAGGGUAGAAUGUGGAAGGACACGUGUGGAGGAAGAGGUGAUACAAAAUGUCACUCGUUCCUUUGCGUCUUGAAGGUAGUUGUUUGAACCAACGCGCAAGUUGUCAAGUCUGUGCCACAUGUAUUCAGAACAAGAUGUAAACCGAUUGAGAAUGAAUGCAGAAAUAAAACAAAAAAGGUGGAUUGACUUUAUUUUCACACGUCGUCUAUGAAUGUAGUCUACAAUAUAUAUAUAUAUAUAUAUAUAUAUACAUAUAUAUAUA